rnacentral:rRNA from 1 species
UACGUAGGGACCAAGCGUUGUCCGGAAUCAUUGGGCGUAAAGAGCGUGUAGGCGGCUUGUUAAGUCUUGCGUGAAAUCUCGGGGCUCAACCCCGAGCGGUCGUGAGAAACUGGCAGGCUAGAGUGCGGGAGAGGAGAGUGGAAUUCCCGGUGUAGUGGUGAAAUGCGUAGAUAUCGGGAGGAACACCAGUGGCGAAGGCGGCUUCCUGGCCUGUUCUUGACGCUGAGGCGCGAAAGCUAGGGGAGCAAACGGG